UACGUAGGGGGCAAGCGUUGUCCGGAAUCAUUGGGCGUAAAGAGCGUGUAGGCGGCCAGAAAAGUCCGCUGUGAAAACUCGAGGCUCAACUUCGAGCUGUCGGUGGAAACUUUCUGGCUAGAGUCCGGAAGAGGAGAAUGGAAUUCCUGGUGUAGCGGUGAAAUGCGCAGAUAUCAGGAAGAACACCCGUGGCGAAAGCGGUUCUCUGGGACGGUACUGACGCUGAGACGCGAAAGCGUGGGGAGCGAACAGG
rnacentral:rRNA from 1 species